UGCCGCGUGAGUGAUGAAGGCCUUAGGGUUGUAAAGCUCUUUCAGUGGGGAAGAUAAUGACGGUACCCACAGAAGAAGCCCCGGCUAACUUCGUGCCAGCAGCCGCGGUAAUACGAAGGGGGCUAGCGUUGUUCGGAUUUACUGGGCGUAAAGCGCACGUAGGCGGAUUGUUAAGUCAGGGGUGAAAUCCUGGAGCUCAACUCCAGAACUGCCUUUGAUACUGGCAAUCUCGAGUCCGGAAGAGGUAAGUGGAACUCCUAGUGUAGAGGUGGAAUUCGUAGAUAUUANGAAGAACACCAGUGGCGAAGGCGGCUUACUGGUCCGGUACUGACGCUGAGGUGCGAAAGCGUGNGGAGCAAACAGGAUUAGAUACCCUGGUAGUCCACGCCGUANACUAUGAGAGCUAGCCNU
rnacentral:rRNA from 1 species